rnacentral:rRNA from 1 species
AACGUAGGUGGCAAGCGUUAUCCGGAUUCACUGGGCGUAAAGCGCACGCAGGCGGCUCCGCCGGUAGGGCAUGAAAUCUCCUGGCUUAACUGGGAGAGGUUGUCCUAUACCGCGGGGCUUGAAGAUGGGAGAGGGAAGUGGAAUUGCCGGUGUAGUGGUGAAAUGCGUAGAGAUCGGCAGGAACACCAGUGGCGAAGGCGGCUUCCUGGCCCAUUCUUGACGCUCAUGUGCGAAAGCUAGGGGAG